UAACAAAAGGAACACAGAUGAUCUAACAACAGAAUCACAGGUGCUCUAACAAAAGGAACACAGGUGCUCUAACAACAGAAUCACAGGUGCUCUAACAACAGGAACACAGGUGCUCUCACAACAGGAACACAGGUGUACUAGCAACAGGUGCUCUAACAACAGGAACACAGGUGCUUUAACAACAGGAACACAGGUGCACUAGCAACAGGAACACAGGUGCACUAACACCAGGAACACAGGUGCACUAAGUGACAGGCAUCAUGUGCGCAAAACUCUAUGUGUGGAAAGGUAAAGAAAAUGACGGCGAGAUAGCAGGUCAUGGCGGACUCCAACUGUCAGACGGAACGUACAUCAGCUGGCGGAGGAACAUGUUCCCAGACGACAAUGAAAGUCAGCCGAUAAAUCCGACGACGUUAGAGGACGACUGCAACUUUGAGGGAAGGGCAGCUGACAAGAUCUUCCCGGUGCAGGCGGCCGAGGUUGACGAGUACUUAAUCCGGAAGUGGUGGCGGGAGUGGCAGACGAAGCGUGAGUGGAAGAAGCAGGGGGAGAUAACUCCGUGUUUCACGGUCCUUGAGGCCAUCAUGGCCGGUCGUGGAUGGAGCAGAAGUGAGAAGGGAGUCCGGAUGGAUCCAGGAGACCUCGUGGAUCAGGUUGCCAGGUUGGGGGUCAUCAUCAGGAACGAAGGAUGUGUCAUUCAGUGAUGCCAGGUUUCCGUUCUUACGCUGUCGUCCUCUGUAGCCUACAUAUACUUUUCAAGUGACAACCUUUGCAAACACGUCCCUGAUUUACAAUGAUCAAUAUAUGGAUAUAUAUUUUGCCGUACAAGCCCAAGGGAAUCUGUUUCGAGUUUUAUAUUUUCCUAGCGAUCAAAUGACUAAAAUGAUCGGACUCCUAUUUCAGAGAAUUACAUGAAACCGUAUAUAGAGUGUCAGGUUUAAUCAUGAGACUGGACCUGACUGUUUGUUUGUUGAACACUACUUCCGGUUCCGGCAACAUUCUUGUGAGUAAGUGAGUGAGUGUGUG
rnacentral:misc_RNA from 1 species